GGGGAAUAUUGGACAAUGGGCGAAAGCCUGAUCCAGCCAUGCCGCGUGUGUGAAGAAGGUCUUCGGAUUGUAAAGCACUUUAAGUUGGGAGGAAGGGCUGCUGGUUAAUACCCUGCAGUUUUGACGUUACCAACAGAAUAAGCACCGGCUAACUUCGUGCCAGCAGCCGCGGUAAUACGAAGGGUGCAAGCGUUAAUCGGAAUUACUGGGCGUAAAGCGCGCGUAGGUGGUUGGGUAAGUUGAAUGUGAAAGCCCCGGGCUCAACCUGGGAACUGCAUCCAAAACUGCCCGACUAGAGUACGGUAGAGGGUGGUGGAAUUUCCUGUGUAGCGGUGAAAUGCGUAGAUAUAGGAAGGAACACCAGUGGCGAAGGCGACCACCUGGACAAAGACUGACGCUCAGGUGCGAAAGCGUGGGGAGCAAAC
rnacentral:rRNA from 1 species